rnacentral:tRNA from 1 species
CCGGGGGUCGCAUAGCGGCAAUUGCACGAGGCUGUAAACCUCGCGGGCUUCGCCCUUCGAAGGUUCGAGUCCUUCUCCCCGGACCA